UACGUAGGGUGCGAGCGUUGUCCGGAAUUAUUGGGCGUAAAGAGCUCGUAGGCGGUUUGUUGCGUCUAUCGUGAAAACCUGCAGCUUAACUGUGGGCUUGCGGUGGAUACGGGCAGACUUGAGUGCCGGAGAGGAUAGCGGAACACCCGGUGUAGAGGUGAAAUUCGUAGAUAUCGGGUAGAACACCAGUGGCGAAGGCGGCUAUCUGGACGGACACUGACGCUGAGACGCGAAAGCGUGGGGAGCAAACAGG
rnacentral:rRNA from 1 species